CCUACGGGAGGCAGCAGUAGGGAAUAUUGCUCAAUGGGGGAAACCCUGAAGCAGCAACGCCGCGUGGAGGAUGAAGGUUUUCGGAUUGUUAACUCCUUUUGUUAGAGAAGAUAAUGACGGUAUCUAACGAAUAAGCACCGGCUAACUCCGUGCCAGCAGCCGCGGUAAUACGGAGGGUGCAAGCGUUACUCGGAAUCACUGGGCGUAAAGAGCGCGUAGGCGGGAUAGCAAGUCAGAUGUGAAAUCCUAUGGCUUAACCAUAGAACUGCAUUUGAAACUGUUAUUCUAGAGUAUGGGAGAGGUAGGUGGAAUUCUUGGUGUAGGGGUAAAAUCCGUAGAGAUCAAGAGGAAUACUCAUUGCGAAGGCGACCUGCUAGAACAUAACUGACGCUGAUGCGCGAAAGCGUGGGGAGCAAACAGGAUUAGAUACCCCAGUAGUC
rnacentral:rRNA from 1 species